rnacentral:rRNA from 1 species
UACGUAGGGGGCAAGCGUUGUCCGGAUUUAUUGGGCGUAAAGAGCGUGUAGGCGGCCAUACAGGUCAGCUGUGAAAACUCGAGGCUCAACCUCGAGACGUCGGUUGAAACCGUAUGGCUAGAGUCCGGAAGAGGAGAGUGGAAUUCCCGGUGUAGCGGUGAAAUGCGCAGAUAUCGGGAAGAACACCCGUGGCGAAGGCGGCACUCUGGGACGGUACUGACGCUGAGACGCGAAAGCGUGGGGAGCGAACAGG